CACCAACCAGCAUGUUUAUUUUGUGCACAGGAGGAAAUUUGCGCUGAGAUAAGUAUUCUUUUAAACCUGUUUUUGAAAUUUAACUUAAUAUUGUAAUACUUGUUUGUGUUUGUAAUUGUUUUUUAUGCAAACUCAAGUGUCUUAUCAAACUAUUUUACGUUGUAAGCAAAGCAUUGUAGCAAAAAUGUUUGUUUCCUUGAGUUCGGACAAUCUAACGAGUUGUUUUGUUUCAUCUUGUAGUACGGCGCUAUUUACUGAAAAGUGUCACUAUUUUACUGAAAAGUGUCGAUGCUAUUUUUUUUUAAAUCAUAUUUUGGAUCAGAAAGUUAUUGUAAUCCAUAACGUAGUUAUGUAAGCUGCCUUUACUUAAUAUAGGCAUUAGAGUCCUAUAUUGGAUAUUCAAUCACGUUGCUAGAAAUUUCUUCUUUAGUUUUUCGUUUUUAAAUUUAUUAAAAAUCUUGAUUUUAUUUUAUGAUUAAAACAAAUUAAAGCAAGAUUAAGAUGCAUCAGUUCAUCAGCAGCAUCAGUACAACUUUAUAACAAGUAUAAGGUUAGACUUUUAAAAGUUUUAGAUUAGCUUUAGUUAGAAACUUCUAUAUAUGUUUACUUCAUGUAUAAUAAUUUACCAGUAAUUUUGAAAUUUAACUUCUGAACAUAUUUUUGCUUCGUCGUAGACCAAAAAUCAACAGCUUAAAAUUGAAAUUUAUCCAGGACAGAAUUAACUUUUGUCAAGACGCUUCUUAGUUAGGAUUCACUGAAUAGUUGGUUAAUCUUUCAAUAUACUGCAUAUUUGGCAAACAAACAGAAUAUUUGGUUUGAUUGAAUACUUUAAUAAUUCAGUGACGCAAUGCGUAGCAAAUUUAUUUUCAACACUUAGUAAACAUAUUUUUUCAUAUAAUGAAUGAAAGUUUUAACGUAGUUAAAAAUUAGUUUGAGUUGUUGCCGUCUAAUACUGUCAAACCUGGUUUAUAAGAAAGCACUUAAAAUUAAUUUCUGCUUGGACAAACUGCAUUUGAGAUCCCUAAUCCCGGUCCUACUGUUGAUGAUUUUCCAAAUAAGAUGAUCUGCUUUAAAGAAUAUGGUUUUAAAGGUCCCUCUGAUAUUGUUUUAACGAGUUUCAAAUGUGCUAUCAUAUUCAAAAGAAUUUUAACGUAAGAGAAAACACUCAGGUGGUAAUUUCAAAUUUUAUUAUUUUCAAUUUUUCGUAAUUUUUAUGACAUGUCUAUAUCUGAGAGUCAGAACAAGGUAACUCACACUAUCGUGAGGAGACAGCUAAAAUGGUUGUCAAAGAUGGAAUGCACCUGGUAAGUAAUUACAAAGUUUUUUUUAGAAUUAUAUUCACAUGACUCGAUACAGAAUAAGAUUCUACAUGACAAUACACUAAUAAACUGAAAAUCACAGUUUUUGGACUUAUGUCAGUAUUAUAGCUCUGAGCUACAGAUAUUUUAAUUAAUCUUACUUUUUCAAAUUCAAUAGGGAAGUUUUCGAUUUUUCAAUUUUAUUUUUAUAUGAUAGAGUAACAUGUAUGAACAUCAUAGGUGAAAAAAAUUUUGCGAUACGAAAAGUAGUUUUUUUAAAUUAAUUUUUAAAGUUCAAGCGCCUGUGACGUCAGAUGGCAUAGGAAGUGACGUCCGAUAGGAGAGAAACGCUAGCGAACCGGUUCCCAUGUCAUGGGAGAAACCGAAGAACGUGCAUUCGACUUCGAAGAUGAAACGUAAAAGGCUUAUCUCCUCGCGUUUCUGGAACAUUAAACCUCUCAUCCUCUCGGAAAUAUUCGAAUAUCACCAUUGAUAUUAUUUGAGGAAGAUUAUUUAGUUUGUUCUUUAACGAAUCCGGCCUCCAUAGUGUGUUCAAAAGGAUUAUUGAAUUUCUAAAAAAUAAAAAUAUCAGCGCGCUAAAAAUGUCCCUAGCGAAAACAAGGGAUCUUCGGAGGAAGGCUGCCCAUUAGUGCCCUGUGACAUAAGCUCGUGACAUUUCAGAAGAGCGCACUUUUGCGCGUGGAUUUUUAAAAAUUCAUUAAAAAUCAACCACGGUGUUUUAAAAUUCGGCGAUGGUGAAUUUUUUAGUUUUGAGGGUCAAUUAACAAUAUGCAAUAGCCAAAAUAUGAACAUUUAAUAGGUUGCAACUUCCCUAUUAACUAUGAAACAGUAAGCAGAAAAGAAAAAAAAACUUGGAUAAUAUGGAAUAUACAUAAUUAUGUACAGUCGGCUAGCAACUUUGUUUUGUAUUUGUAUGUAAGGUAAUUGCAAGAUCCUUUAUUUAUAAUGUAACAUACUACCAUGAUUAUAUUAGCUACAUCAAAUAUUAUUCAAAAAGAAUUGCAGAUAAAUAUAAACCAUUAGUCCUUUACUAGAACAGUUUUUUUUUUAAAUUUAUAAUUGCACUAAAUAUAGAUGCAUUUAGGAUGUUAAAUGAAAAUUAAUUUUUAUUUCAUAAAAAAGGAAAAAUAGAUUAACCUUCCUUACAUUAAAUUGGUAUAAAAUACAAAUGUUGAAAUCACAAAAUAAAUAAUAUUAGAUAUUGGGUAAAAUAUGUUAUUCAGUGCACCUAUGCUUUUUAGUACGGACAAACUGAGAUUUGGCACUCGCACAUUAUAGUGAAUCAUAAGGAAAGGGGUAAGGAAAAUAAAAAUUUGUAUUGUUGAUAUUUAGAUAUGAAAAAUGCAGUAACCAUUUAAAAUAUGUAAGUACUGUACACAAGUAAAAUACUGUAUUAAAAUUGAAAAUUUAGUUCUUUCAGUCAACCAGUUUUCUGCCAAAAUGGAAUGUUUCAAUGACUUAAUGGUUUGAGUUUUAUAAUUUACGAAACAUGUUAAGAUUUUUUUUUCUUAGUAACUACUUAAUUUAAAGAUUAAUCAUUUUGACUUUUAAAGGGUAGCUAUUUCCUAAAUUUUCCUUAGCAAUUCUUGACAGUUUUCGUGCAUAAUUUUUUAAAAAGACUAGCUAGGCUUUGUGUUGAAUUUUAAAAAUAAUGAAUAUUCUAAAAUAACACACAAGUUGUUAAAAAAUAUAUUUAGUAAGAUCUUUUAAUUUAGGAAAUAAAACUUUCAAGAAAAUAUAAUUACACGGAAUUAGCUCUACUCAAGCUAUACAUUGUAUUAUUUAUCUUUUAAAUAGUAAUGAACAAAGUUUUAAUGAACAAAAUCAUCGGGUUACUGCAUACACGUGUUUUGGCGUUACAGGAACUCUUUUUCAAUGUAAAGUGGUGAGCUUUUGUAUGUAAAGACCCAAAACACGGGUAUGCAGUUGUCUGCUAUUUUUGUGCAUUAAAACGUUGUUCAUUACUAUUUACUUCCCUGCACAAAGGUAUUUAUUUCUUAUUUAUCUUUUAGUUUAAAGCAACUUUUUUUUGCAGCCUUUAAGAACAAAAUAAGAUGCCUUCUUUGCACUAAGAUUUUCAAGUAGGAGAGUGGAAUUGCAAGUCCUUUCUCAUCACAGAGCAAAAUGAGAAAAUAUCUACUGAAAAGAGGGAAGGACUCCUCUGGAAUUGAGACCGAGAUGAAGAGAAGGAACAAAUAUUUAUCCGAUAAAAUUCAGAAUCUGCGUUACAAUAAAGUUUAAUUGAAUAAAUUUGAUUUUAAGUGUU